GACGAACGCUGGCGGCGUGCCUAAUACAUGCAAGUCGAACGAAGCUGUUUUAACUGGUGCUUGCACCGACUUAAACAACUGAGUGGCGAACGGGUGAGUAACACGUGGGUAACCUGCACCAAAGCGGGGGAUAACAUUUGGAAACAGAUGCUAAUACCGCAUAACCAAAGAAACCACAUGGCUUCUGUGUCAAAGAUGGUUUCGGCGAUAACUUUGGGAUGGACCCGCGGCGUAUUAGCUAGUUGGUAAGGUAAUGGCUUAACAAGGCAAUGAUACGUAGCCGAACUGAGAGGUUGAUCGGCCACAUUGGGACUGAGACACGGCCCUAACUCCUACGGGAGGCAGCAGUAGGGAAUCUUCCACAAUGGACGAAAGUCUGAUGGAGCAACGCCGCGUGAGUGAAGAGGGUUUUCGGAUCGUAAAACUCUGUUGUCAGAGAAGAACGUGUGCGAGAGUAACUGUUCGUGCAGUGACGGUAUCUGGCCAGAAAGCCACGGCUAACUACGUGCCAGCCGCCGCCGUAA
rnacentral:rRNA from 1 species